CACGUAGGGCGCGAGCGUUGUCCGGAAUUAUUGGGCGUAAAGAGCUCGUAGGCGGCCUGUUGCGUCCGCUGUGAAAGCCCCGGGGCUUAACCCCGGGUCGGCAGUGGAUACGGGCAGGCUAGAGGUAGGUAGGGGAGAAUGGAAUUCCCGGUGUAGCGGUGAAAUUCGUAGAUAUUGGGGAGAACACCGGUGGCGAAGGCGGCGACCUGGUCCAUUACUGACGCUGAGGCGCGACAGCGUGGGGGAGCAAACAGG
rnacentral:rRNA from 1 species